rnacentral:rRNA from 1 species
UAAGCGACUAAGCGUACACGGUGGAUGCCCUGGCAGUCAGAGGCGAUGAAGGACGUGCUAAUCUGCGAUAAGCGUCGGUAAGGUGAUAUGAACCGUUAUAACCGGCGAUUUCCGAAUGGGGAAACCCAGUGUGAUUCGUCACACUAUCAUUAACUGAAUCCAUAGGUUAAUGAGGCGAACCGGGGGAACUGAAACAUCUAAGUACCCCGAGGAAAAGAAAUCAACCGAGAUUCCCCCAGUAGCGGCGAGCGAACGGGGAGCAGCCCAGAGCCUGAAUCAGUGUGUGUGUUAGUGGAAGCGUCUGGAAAGGCGCGCGAUACAGGGUGACAGCCCCGUACACAAAAAUGCACAUACUGUGAGCUCGAUGAGUAGGGCGGGACACGUGGUAUCCUGUCUGAAUAUGGGGGGACCAUCCUCCAAGGCUAAAUACUCCUGACUGACCGAUAGUGAACCAGUACCGUGAGGGAAAGGCGAAAAGAACCCCGGCGAGGGGAGUGAAAAAGAACCUGAAACCGUGUACGUACAAGCAGUGGGAGCCUCUUUAUGGGGUGACUGCGUACCUUUUGUAUAAUGGGUCAGCGACUUAUAUUCUGUAGCAAGGUUAACCGAAUAGGGGAGCCGAAGGGAAACCGAGUCUUAACUGGGCGUUAAGUUGCAGGGUAUAGACCCGAAACCCGGUGAUCUAGCCAUGGGCAGGUUGAAGGUUGGGUAACACUAACUGGAGGACCGAACCGACUAAUGUUGAAAAAUUAGCGGAUGACUUGUGGCUGGGGGUGAAAGGCCAAUCAAACCGGGAGAUAGCUGGUUCUCCCCGAAAGCUAUUUAGGUAGCGCCUCGUGAAUUCAUCUCCGGGGGUAGAGCACUGUUUCGGCAAGGGGGUCAUCCCGACUUACCAACCCGAUGCAAACUGCGAAUACCGGAGAAUGUUAUCACGGGAGACACACGGCGGGUGCUAACGUCCGUCGUGAAGAGGGAAACAACCCAGACCGCCAGCUAAGGUCCCAAAGUCAUGGUUAAGUGGGAAACGAUGUGGGAAGGCCCAGACAGCCAGGAUGUUGGCUUAGAAGCAGCCAUCAUUUAAAGAAAGCGUAAUAGCUCACUGGUCGAGUCGGCCUGCGCGGAAGAUGUAACGGGGCUAAACCAUGCACCGAAGCUGCGGCAGCGACACUAUGUGUUGUUGGGUAGGGGAGCGUUCUGUAAGCCUGUGAAGGUGUACUGUGAGGUAUGCUGGAGGUAUCAGAAGUGCGAAUGCUGACAUAAGUAACGAUAAAGCGGGUGAAAAGCCCGCUCGCCGGAAGACCAAGGGUUCCUGUCCAACGUUAAUCGGGGCAGGGUGAGUCGACCCCUAAGGCGAGGCCGAAAGGCGUAGUCGAUGGGAAACAGGUUAAUAUUCCUGUACUUGGUGUUACUGCGAAGGGGGGACGGAGAAGGCUAUGUUGGCCGGGCGACGGUUGUCCCGGUUUAAGCGUGUAGGCUGGUUUUCCAGGCAAAUCCGGAAAAUCAAGGCUGAGGCGUGAUGACGAGGCACUACGGUGCUGAAGCAACAAAUGCCCUGCUUCCAGGAAAAGCCUCUAAGCAUCAGGUAACAUCAAAUCGUACCCCAAACCGACACAGGUGGUCAGGUAGAGAAUACCAAGGCGCUUGAGAGAACUCGGGUGAAGGAACUAGGCAAAAUGGUGCCGUAACUUCGGGAGAAGGCACGCUGAUAUGUAGGUGAAGUCCCUCGCGGAUGGAGCUGAAAUCAGUCGAAGAUACCAGCUGGCUGCAACUGUUUAUUAAAAACACAGCACUGUGCAAACACGAAAGUGGACGUAUACGGUGUGACGCCUGCCCGGUGCCGGAAGGUUAAUUGAUGGGGUCAGCGCAAGCGAAGCUCUUGAUCGAAGCCCCGGUAAACGGCGGCCGUAACUAUAACGGUCCUAAGGUAGCGAAAUUCCUUGUCGGGUAAGUUCCGACCUGCACGAAUGGCGUAAUGAUGGCCAGGCUGUCUCCACCCGAGACUCAGUGAAAUUGAACUCGCUGUGAAGAUGCAGUGUACCCGCGGCAAGACGGAAAGACCCCGUGAACCUUUACUAUAGCUUGACACUGAACAUUGAGCCUUGAUGUGUAGGAUAGGUGGGAGGCUUUGAAGUGUGGACGCCAGUCUGCAUGGAGCCGACCUUGAAAUACCACCCUUUAAUGUUUGAUGUUCUAACGUUGGCCCCUGAUCGGGGUUGCGGACAGUGUCUGGUGGGUAGUUUGACUGGGGCGGUCUCCUCCUAAAGAGUAACGGAGGAGCACGAAGGUUGGCUAAUCCUGGUCGGACAUCAGGAGGUUAGUGCAAUGGCAUAAGCCAGCUUGACUGCGAGCGUGACGGCGCGAGCAGGUGCGAAAGCAGGUCAUAGUGAUCCGGUGGUUCUGAAUGGAAGGGCCAUCGCUCAACGGAUAAAAGGUACUCCGGGGAUAACAGGCUGAUACCGCCCAAGAGUUCAUAUCGACGGCGGUGUUUGGCACCUCGAUGUCGGCUCAUCACAUCCUGGGGCUGAAGUAGGUCCCAAGGGUAUGGCUGUUCGCCAUUUAAAGUGGUACGCGAGCUGGGUUUAGAACGUCGUGAGACAGUUCGGUCCCUAUCUGCCGUGGGCGCUGGAGAACUGAGGGGGGCUGCUCCUAGUACGAGAGGACCGGAGUGGACGCAUCACUGGUGUUCGGGUUGUCAUGCCAAUGGCACUGCCCGGUAGCUAAAUGCGGAAGAGAUAAGUGCUGAAAGCAUCUAAGCACGAAACUUGCCCCGAGAUGAGUUCUCCCUGACUCCUUGAGAGUCCUGAAGGAACGUUGAAGACGACGACGUUGAUAGGCCGGGUGUGUAAGCGCAGCGAUGCGUUGAGCUAACCGGUACUAAUGAACCGUGAGGCUUAACCU